CCAGACUCCUACGGGAGGCAGCAGUGGGGAAUAUUGCACAAUGGGGGAAACCCUGAUGCAACAACGCCGCGUGAGUGAAGAAGUAUUUCGGUAUGUAAAGCUCUAUCAGCAGGGAAGAAGAUGACGGUACCUGAUUAAGAGGCCCCGGCUAACUACGUGCCAGCAGCCGCGGUAAUACGUAGGGGGCAAGCGUUAUCCGGAUUUACUGGGUGUAAAGGGAGCGUAGGCGGUUAGAUAAGUCUGAUGUGAAAGCCUACAGCUUAACUGUGGGAUUGCAUUGGAAACUAUAGAACUAGAGUGUCGGAGAGGUAAGUGGAAUUCCUAGUGUAGCGGUGAAAUGCGUAGAUAUUAGGAGGAACACCAGUGGCGAAGGCGGCUUACUGGACGAUGACUGACGCUGAGGCUCGAAAGCGUGGGGAGCAAACAGGAUUAGAUACCCUAGUAC
rnacentral:rRNA from 1 species